UACGGAAGGCAGCAGUGGGGAAUAUUGCACAAUGGGCGCAAGCCUGAUGCAGCCAUGCCGCGUGUAUGAAGAAGGCCUUCGGGUUGUAAAGUACUUUCAGUCGUGAGGAAGGUGUUAAGGUUAAUAACCUUAGCAAUUGACGUUAGCGACAGAAGAAGCACCGGCUAACUCCGUGCCAGCAGCCGCGGUAAUACGGAGGGUGCGAGCGUUAAUCGGAAUUACUGGGCGUAAAGGGCACGCAGGCGGUUAAUUAAGUUGGAUGUGAAUCCCCGGGCUUAACCUGGGAAUGGCAUUCAAGACUGGUUAGCUAGAGUCUUGUAGAGGGGGUAGAAUUCCAUGUGUAGCGGUGAAAUGCGUAGAGAUGUGGAGGAAUACCGGUGGCGAAGGCGGCCCCUGGGACAAAGGCUGACGCUCAUGUGCGAAAGCGUGGGGAGCAAACAGGAUUAGAUACC
rnacentral:rRNA from 1 species